AUUGAACGCUGGCGGCAUGCCUUACACAUGCAAGUCGAACGGCAGCAUGAUCUAGCUUGCUAGAUUGAUGGCGAGUGGCGAACGGGUGAGUAAUACAUCGGAACGUGCCCUGUAGUGGGGGAUAACUAGUCGAAAGAUUAGCUAAUACCGCAUACGACCUGAGGGUGAAAGUGGGGGACCGCAAGGCCUCAUGCUAUAGGAGCGGCCGAUGUCUGAUUAGCUAGUUGGUGAGGUAAAGGCUCACCAAGGCGACGAUCAGUAGCUGGUCUGAGAGGACGAUCAGCCACACUGGGACUAAGACACGGCCCAGACUCCUACGGGAGGCAGCAGUGGGGAAUUUUGGACAAUGGGGGCAACCCUGAUCCAGCAAUGCCGCGUGUGUGAAGAAGGCCUUCGGGUUGUAAAGCACUUUUGUCCGGAAGAAAUCGCACUUACUAAUAUUAGGUGUGGAUGACGGUACCGGAAGAAUAAGGACCGGCUAACUACGUGCCAGCAGCCGCAGUAAUAC
rnacentral:rRNA from 1 species